rnacentral:lncRNA from 1 species
CUUGGCUCCACCCUUGUUAAGUGAAAUCUGCCAGCUGGGGAUCAUUUGACCUCUGCUAUAUAGGAAGCAUGAGGAGGCAUGAGAGGGAUUGCUUCCACAGGGGAGUUUGAUGCUUCAGUUAUCUAGGGUUCUUUUCAAGUGUCAUGGUGCAAUGAACUCUGUGUUCACCAAGUAGGCGGCUUUUUAUUCAUAUUAUCUGCUGUCUCUGAAGAAUAGUUUUAGAGAUUCUGAUGUUGCAGCAUUGCUGGUGCCUUCUCAGUAGAGUAAAAGUCUCACGCUGUGUAUUCACUGGGAAAAAGCUUAGAAGUGCAUCAGGUUCAGGAGCUAAAAGAGGCCUGCUUCUCAGCUGUGGAGAAACUUUUGGAGAAACUUGCUGCUCCAACUUCCAGUGGGCAGUCCUCUGUCUCAGAUCUGUCCCAGUUCAUCAUCUAACAUGUACUUAAACUGCCCUGAUGCCGUAUAUUACUUCCUGAUGGCGCAGCAAUCAGGAUAUCGUCCAUGUAUUGGAUGAUAGUCGCGGUCGGGUCACUGCACUGAACUGGCGCCAGCGCCCAAUCCACCGUGAUCGGGCAGAUAGUAGGCGAGUUGAUCAUUCCUUGAGGCAGCACUUUCC